rnacentral:misc_RNA from 1 species
CCAGUUGUUCCAUCAACCGCUCCCUACCCCGACAUGCUGAGCCGGUAACGGCUUGGUGUGAAGCUAGGGGAGAACAUAGCCGCCGGGCGCCACCAUCCCGUCUGCGUCAGUCCGGAAAUCCA